rnacentral:sRNA from 1 species
UUCGAUUAUCAUAAAAUUUUGAAUUUAUACAAGAAACCUUUUAUGAUACUAUGUUAUAUAUAUGUUACUAUUAGUCAGACAAAUGUUUUGAACAAUUUCUUGGUUCAGACCGAUAUUAGACAAUUGUUUGACA